AAAAUCUUUAGAAAUCAAAAUCUACAUCCCCCUAUACAUUAAAAGAGAAGUCAAUUUAGUGAUUUCUGCUGAGGUGGCACUCAUAUAGAGCUUCUCAGGAAAAACGUUAUAAUUCUAUUGGUUGAAUUUUUGGAAUUUUUCUUUUUGAUUUAUUUUUUCACUCCCUUCCGCGUAAUUAAAAACACAGUCGUUUAUGUUGAAGUUUUUUCUUCUUUUUUUUUCCAAUCGCGUGUCAAUUGAACGGGGAGAUGGUUUCAAUCUGAUGAAGACAGUCCGACCAGAUGAGUUUUGUUCUCCAUAACAUAAAGACUCAAUCCUAUCCAUCGCUAACAGCAUCGACAACCAGACGAGGUGAAGUUUAUCGAGUCUCUCGGAAUUUUAGGUUUUUUUGCUUCUCUGAUUGGAUUCGACUUUUAAGAUAUGAUGCGAAGGUUUUUUUGAUACCUGUGAUUGGAUUCGACUUUUAAGCUAUGAUACAAAGAUUGUUGGAUAACACUGAUUCCAAUCGACAUAUGUUUCUUGAUUGAUUACAUUUUGCUUAUUUACAUUUUGAAUCUUUUGUAUCUAAUUGAUUGAUUAACCUUCUUGCUGUUCAGGUCUUGCUUCUCUUAAACAAGACCAUUGUCACGACCACAGAAGUAUUAUCACAACAAACUUGCAUUCGACUUCAGUCUCAGAAGAAGGACUGUAAGAUUACCUUCUCCUUAAUAAUUCAACAAGCAUUUGGACAGUACUAUCUUGUGAUUUUAAAGUUUGUUUUUUUGUUUCAUUAGCACGAUUUAGAGCUUUACAAAACAAUUCCAAUGGUCUGUUGCAUUGCUAAUUGCAGAACGACUAAGAUCUCAAUGGGAUAAUACUGUCAGAGAUAAGGUAAACCUUCUCUUCUCCUGAAAGCAUAUGCAAAUCCGUUUGUUCAGUCGGUUUCAUUCCUUUCUGUAUCCGGUCCUUUGGUUUUCUGAUUUUCAAUUUUGGUUUUCUUAAUUAUGAGAUAUUAAGCCCAUAUAAUUAGAUAACUAGAUAGAUAUUAAGCCCAUAUAAUUAGAUUACUUGCGCAAGAUUUGCAUAUUACUAACUUUCCUUAUUAUUCUAAUCAAUUACUUGCAGAAGUUGUUUUCGUAUUUAUUAUAUUACUUGCGCAAGUUAAAAUCAUAUCAUAUGCAAAUCAAUUUAUGACAAUACAUAAUUAAAAUCUUUCUUUAAACGAUUUCAAUCUUUAUUAGGGGUCAUUAAUAUGAUAAAUAAAUCGGCUUAAUAUAUAUAUGGCAUACCCGAAUGGUUAAAAUACAAACAUUCAGCUCUAACAAGAACAAUGGCAAUGGUGCGAGCCAAAAAAAUAUUGUUUCUUUAGUGAGAGAAUUAAAACCACGUAAAGAUACGUCCCAUAUUGAAGUUAUGAUUCUUCGCUUGUGGAGAAACUAUAACAAAGAAUCAGGAAACACCAUUGAAAUGGUGGUUGUUGAUAAAUAAGUAAGUUACUUUAAAUAUGCAUUUUUUUUGGAAGCAUCGUUUAUAUAAUUAUUCUGCGUAUAUAAAGACUUCAUAUUUUUUUGUCUAGGGGACAAGAAUUCAUGCUUCAGUUGGUGAACAACUCAUCAAAAAAUUCGAUGACAAGCUACGCGAGGGAGAUGCGAUUGUCCUCCAGUUGUUCAAAGUGUACGAUGCUACUGGUGAAUACCGUACGAUGCCACAUCCUUACAAAAUUGGCUUCUUUCACACAACAUUUGUUGGAAUAGCUGAUGAUUUUCCAAGUGCAGUUCCCGAAAAGUAUUUCGCGGACUUCUCUGAUAUUCUUGGUGAAAAUCUGGACCAUAGCUGUUUGGUUGGUGAGUUAGUUUCUUAAUCAGUUAAAGAGUCUUUCACUUUACUACUACCUGUUUCUGAUUUGAGUCUUAUUUUUGGUAUGUAGAUGUGGUUGGCCAAAUAGUUAACUUCGGGUCUCUGGAAAACAAAAUAAUAAAAGAAAAAGACAACAUGAGGCUCUUGGUUGAGUUGCGUGACCCAAAGUAAAGUGAAAGAUUUUUAAUCUUAUUUAUACUUUGCUAAGAAAACAUCUAUUAACUGUAUUUAACUUAAGUUUAUAUUAUACAGUAAUGUGAAGAUGAUGUGUACUCUGUGGGGUAGUUAUGCUAAACAAGUAUACGAUUACAGUAGGAGUAACAUGUCCCCCAUGAUUAUUUGUGUGAUCAGAUUCUGUUCUGUUAAAGAGUGGAAAGGUGCUUACUCCAUAUCUAGCGGGUAUAAUUCAACCCAUAUCCUGCUCAACCCAACACUUGAUUUUAUUGAGGAGUUCAAAGCAAGUCUCCCUGAUGAUUCACUUGCUCUUACGAACAACGAUAGUAGCCAAUGGUCUGUUGGUACUGCUACUUCUAUUCGUGCCAGGUUUUUUGUUCUUAAUGAGAGGCUAACCAUCGGAGAGAUCAUUGAUAGCUCUGUGGUUGGCACUUUUGUUACUCUGGGGACCAUUGAAACAAUUGAUACUAAACGUGGCUGGCAAUAUCUAAGUUGCAAAUACCACAACAAAAAAGUGAUGCCUACAACCAAUGUUGAUGCUGAUGACCGGCCCUUGUUCUUCUGGAAUACGUGUGACAAAGAACACAGUGAUGUUAUUUCCAGGUAUUGAUCGGGUUAGAUAUACAAAAAUAUCAGUUAGGUAGAUCGUCAUUGAAAUAGUCUGUGACGUUUUGUCUUUGGAAUUGUUCAGGUUCAAAUUAAUUGCCAAUGUCAAGGACGAUAGCGGUGAGGCUAAUUUUCUGUUGUUUGAUGCUAAUGCUCAAGUAAUUGUGCGUCAUUCUGCUGCUGAACUCUAUGACGAGGUACAUUUAUAAAUUCCAUUGUACAUCAAUUAACACAGUAAAUUAUAUUAGCCGACCGCUAUCUAUGUAAUUGUAGAAUGAAGAUGAAGACUUCUUACCUGAAGCAGUGAGCGAUCUCUUUGGUAAGAGAGUCCUUUUUAAGAUUUCAGUUGACGCUGAUAACAUCAAAGGAAAGAGUUCUCAGUAUGUUGUUCGAUUGGCUACUGAUGACCGUGAAAUGGUUGAGGAAUUUGCUGAUUUGCCUCCUAAAUCUAACCCGGUACUAAUGUUGGAGUCCGCAGAUGAUAUUUCCUCUGGUUCUGGUGGUUUUACAGCAACUCCUUUGUCCAAAAGAAAAAGCGAACAAGAUGACGACAGUUGCCUUGAGGAUCAACACUCUGUUAACAAGAAACUCUCUCAAAAGAAACUCAAGGGCGAGUGAGCUGUCUCUUUUUGAUGAGUUGCUGUCCUUUAUAGUGUUAUGGCUUUGUUUUUGCUUCAUUUUUUAAAACUUUGUCUGAGUAUCUUUGUCUUUGGUUUUCUUUAAGAUUUGGUCCGACCAUCUUUGUUUUUUGCUUUUAAUUGGAAUAAAAAUUUAUCAAGUUCCAAUCUAAACCAGACAACCAUUUCUUUGGUUGGCUCUGACAUUUGAUUUAGUAUUAAUGCCAAUCGGUAACGUUUUAGAAUCAUUACAUUGAUAAAAUUCCUUAUUCAACCUUUUCUUUGGUUGGUUCUGACAAUAGAUUUUGUAUGAAGCUCAAAUUGGCAUAAAUACAAAGUUAGCCCAUUUGAAAUACUGAAUAACAAAAAAAUGUAACCGAAAUUUUACUAAUCGUAACAUUAUUAUCAAACCGAUCCCCCUUAUUAGAAUUUUAUUGGUAGUAAUACAAUCUCAGCCCAUUUGUAAUACCAAACUAAAAACCAAUUUAUUGCCCGAAUAGUAUUUAAGCCCAUAAUUUUGUAGUUGCGAUACUAUUAAAUACUUUUUGACGUUUUUUUUAUAGACAGUAUUAGACUAUAUUUUUUAAUAUGAAAACUUCUUUGUAUAUUAAUUUGUAGAUUCUUUAACUAAACAUUUAUCUAAAAAAAAUCAUGCAAAUAGAUCAUAGAUAUAAACCCAAGGUAGUGCAAACAAUGGGUUCUUUGUACAGGAAGUGAAAAUCGAAAAUUAUUAAAAAACAGGAGUUUAAUGCAUAACCUUUUUCAGAUAAAGGUUAUCGAGAUUAUUUUGGAAGAAAAUAAUUAUCAUAUUUAUAAUAAAAACAUACACGGAAAAUAUGAUUAAGUCGGUAUAUAAAACAAUUAAUUGGAAAGGUAAAUACAAUUAACAUAUUUAUAAUUUAUGUUUUCGAUAAGUAAUGUGAAAAGACACGACUCAUCGAGAGUCCCCUAGACAUUAUAAAGACAGCAGUGAAUAAUUGUGAACAAAAUCUUUCAUCUCACUUCUUCUCCGAUUGAGUCUCUCCAACUUUCGGUAAGUUUAUUUUCUUUCUCUUUAGUUUUUUCUUUCAAAUAUAUUGCAUGUAGAUCCAUCAGUUUUCUGUAUAAGCGGUUACCAAUUGAAUCAAGACUUUUUAGGUUUUGCAUCCGUCAUGCGUCUUUUUGUUCAAAAACCUGUCUAUGAUCUUGGUAGGCUUGUUUUCUGUAAAAAUCAAUGAGUAUUUAGGAGAUCUUAUGUGUACAACUGCUUAUUAUUGAUCGUUGUAAAUAAUUUUUCCGCUUAGAUAAUAUAACGUUUAUAACUAAUACUGUUUAUAAUAAGCAGAUCGACCAACAUCUCGCGAUGGCAUUCAAGAAGGACCUUAAACGCAAGUCUCCAAUGACUGAUGAUUACGGUACUUCUCUUGAAGAGGCAUUCAAAAAUGGAAUGGAGGGGACGACUGCGCAUUACCAAGCCAUUCUCUUUAUGUACAAGCAACUACAUGAUGCGCUCAUCAAGAAGCAUGCUGAAGAACUUGAAGUCGCUCGCGUACAAGGUAAACUGGAACUCUUUGACGAACUCUUCAACAUGUCUGCAUUGAGCGAAGAGAAAGAGAAGAUAGAGUCGGAACUCGUGCUUGCAGAGGCCAAGGCGGCUGAUGUGAAGGUUCCUUACAUCGAUUGGUACAAGUUGAAUGAGCCACAGAUGUUUGAUUAACCUUGUCAAUUUCUUGUUUGCUUCAAGUUAAAACGUUUAAUCUUUUUUAUAUUUUGGUGUUGUAAUAUGGAACAUAUUUUCUGGUUUUUAAAACCAGUUUUCCAGCAAAAUUUGGUAGGUUAUUAAACUAUUUUAAGUUUGUUAUAUUAUAAUCUGCCUUUAUAUUAGCCUAUCUCAAUUUAUUUCUUAUUGUUAUAAUUGGCUUUCAUGUUCCAAUUACACAUUCGUUUGAUUUAGUUGCUUUAGUUACAAAAUUAAAAUUUCUGUAUAUAAGACUUUCGAAGAAGAAGUAGGUUUUUUGAACUGGAAGAGGAAGUAGGUUAUACCUAUAGUGGUGGAGUAAGUGGUUCAUAGAUUUGUCUAAAUCACAUUAGUCAAGGUAGCGUGAGUAUGUCAAAGACAAUAUCGCAUCAUGUUUGGAUUCUUGAGAUCUUAGAAUACCAAAGGAAACUGAUUUAAUAAAAUUUAAGAAGGAAAUGUACUGACAAAAUAAUUACGUAAUAAGAGUUUAUAUCUAUAAUUUAACUACAGGUCUUUUCGUAUCGGAAUUGUGAAGUUAAAUAUAUUUGAUCGAGGUAUGGAAAUGAUGAUAUUUUUUUAAUUCUUUAUAAUUUAAUUUAUUGACAUGCGUGCAAGAUUAUAAAUAUAUUUUAUAAAUAUCUAAUUAUUCGACAUAUAUUUAAACACGAUAGAAUCUACUUUCCGGAAAGGAAGGCAAUAUUUUAAAUGACGAUCUACAUUGCGAUCCAUAUAUUAGUUCAAAAUCUAUUGCUUUCUGUUUUUUUUCGGACUAUAUCUUUAUAUAAGGUAAUAUAUAUAUAUUGGAAACCUUUAUAGUUUCAAUGAUAUAAAUGUUUAAUAAAUAUUUGGAAACGAAUCUAAAGGGUUUAUCAUUUAUAGGGCAAUCGGAAAGGCAUUUUUCUAGAACCCAUCUUUCUAUAUAAACUGCUGAAUGACGCCUAUUUUAUCAAACCUAAUUUCAGUCAUCUUCGCCGACAUUGUCUCUACAAUUCUUUCCUAAUCUCAAAAGAAAUCCUUUGUAAGCUUUCAUUUUCUUUAUUAAUUAGCAACACAUGUAUAUCAUUACUCGGUUAUUUGAUUAUCGAAUCACGGUUUUUUACUUCAAUUUGACGUAAUAUAAUCUGGGGAGUUUUCAAUACACGUGGAUCAUCUUUCUAGGGACAUAUAAGGUGUCAUCGGAAUAGUAAAAAAGGUUUUGUAAGAUCUCUAUAGUAUCAUGUAUUGUUUAAUUUUGAGAAUCUAACUAAAUAUAUAUAUUUCACUGUGGAUCGCUUUGUCUCUAUGUUUGAUCUGAAUUGUAAAUAGUUAAAUUAUGUUAUAAUUUGUGUUGCUUAUAUAAUCUUUAGUUGAUUAAUUUUGAGGAUCAAAAUAAAUAGAUAUAUUUCAGUAAUGUUAGUCGCUUUGUCUCUAUGUUUGAUCUGAAUUAGCAAUAGUAUAAUUUUGUUUUUAAUUGUGUUGCUUACAUAAACGACGUAUAUUUUAAUCAAUAUUUCUUUGCUCCACAUGCAAGGCAAGAUCUCGCGAUGGCAUUCAACAGAGAUCUAAAGCUCAAAAAACCGAUCGUUGAAGAUUACAGUUAUUCUCUCGAAGAGGCUUUCAACAAGGGAAAGAAUGAGACUAGGGACCGUUACCGAGCCAUGCUCUUUAUGUAUCAGAACCAAUUGGAAGCCAUCACAGCCAAGCAUGAUGAAGAGCGUGAAGUCUAUCGCGUGCAAGGUAAAUUAGAGUUACUCAAGGAACUCUUCAAGAAAGACGCAAGGAGGAAGGAGAAGAAUAAACUAAAGACUGAACUGGUGCUCGCAAAGGAGAAGAUUGAUGGGGUUAAGAUUCCUUACGUUGAUUGGUUCACAAAUGUUUGACUGACGUCUCUGUUUUAACAAUCUCCAAGUUUGCAAUGUUUUAGUUUUUGUGUUGUUUCGGCUACCAAUAUCGGAAUCUAUCUUCUGGUUUUGUAAACCAGUUUAAUAACAUGUUAUUUUCAAUAGUUUCAACGUAUUGUACUGAAGUGAUGAACUGCUUUUAUAUUAGCCUGGAUCAUUGCAUUAUAGGGGGAUUGAUUGUUGAACAAUGCGUUUAAAUGAUUUAUACACAAUCUUUGCUGAUCUUGUGUGUUCAGUCAGUGUAGUUUCGAUGUACUUAAAGAGUACUUUGUGAUAUGAAUUAGGUUGAAAUCGUGAAAAAAAGUUAUGAUUUUGUUCAUCAUUUGGCCUUAACUUGACACGCGAUUAUGAAAAGAACCCUUUUAAAUAUAAAACCAGUUCACUGACUAAACAAAUCUUUUAAAUAUUUUAAAUAUUUUUAUUGUAGCCAUUACUAUUAGAUUUAGAUUUUCGUAAUUAUAAAACGAGACAUACUAAAUAUUACUUGAAAGGGGGGAUUUGCAUAUAUCGUUUUACAGAUAUUGGGUUUAACUGAUUUUUAAAUUUUCAGCCUAUAUGUAAAAUUGCCCUAUAUUUAACCUAAAAAUUGUCAAAUAUGUCCUUCAUGCUAAUUUUGUUAAAUACUUUGGUUUGGGUUUAGUGCUUGCGGCUUCGGUUUUAAGUCUAAGAUGCGGGUUUAUUGCAUAUGAUUUGUGAUUAAGGUCAAGGAUUUAGACCAGUAUAUAGGGAAAUCGUAUUUCAAAUUAACGGUUUCGGUUUAUGGUCUAGAAUUUGAAUAGAAAGUAUGCGGUUAGGAGUUACGGUAUAGGACUUUGGUUUAGGGUUUAGGGUUUGAAUUUCAGGUGUACAGUAUAGGGUCCAGGGAUAUAUAUUUAGGAUUUUAAUUUUACGGUUUGGAUUUAGGGUAUAGGACUUCAUUUUUGGGUUAAAGAGUUUCUUCAGUUAGAGUUGAGAAAUAUAUGACAUUUAUUUCGUUCCAUCAUUUUUCUGAGAAAUAAUGAUGGCAUGAACAUAAGAAAUACUAAUUAACUAUUUCGUAUCACCAAGAUAGCACAAACAUCAAAUGUGCAAAACCGAUAAUAAAAAUACCAUUGAUUUAUACAUGUUAUUAUACAAUAUGACAUUGAGUCCUGAUUAUAAAUAAACCCUGAACCCACUAUUAUCCAAAUGAAACCAACCUUGUUUUAUGAAUUAAAACAUGUAGAAAACCAUAAUGGAACUGAUCCCCCGUUAUUAGGCUUUUAUAUGCAUUAAUACAGUCAAAGCCCAUUUUAAAAGUCGAUCUGAAAACAUAGUUAAGCCCAAAUAUAAAGAAGACGGAUUUCAAAACUCGAAACCCUAAAUUGAGCGACGUGUUUAGUAGGUCUCUAUAAAUCUGCUACGAAAAAUUACAAUCAUAGCGUCCGAACAUUCUCCCCUUUCAAUGAAGCCGCUCAAAUAUAAUUGGUCAAUUCCUACCCAGGUAUUAGCGAGCUACUAAACUAAAUUUUUUUGCAAUACAAAUUUGUUCAGCAUAAAGAUAAUUUUUAUGAUCCUAUAGGAAUUAUGCACUUUUGAUCCUGAAAAAUCUCCAUUGGAUUCCUAUGGCUAUGUAAGUUUUUUUACACAUAAAAUAUUUUGUUUCUAUUAUACGUUUGGAGUACUUACAAGUCAUAAUUUGAUGUUUGUUAUGUGACAGUGUUACGAAAAAGUUGACAAUCAUACAGACAAUAAAGUCAUUAAGAGGCAUCAGUUUCACAUUAUGAUGCGCUUUACACACGGAAACCAACAUUCAGCCAAUAUCCACGAUGAACCAGAUAAAUCCAAGUUUAUGGAUUGGAUGGAGACUAACAAACAAAUACGUAAAGGAGUAAAUCUAAAGUCUUUGAUUAGAAAGUGCUGUGCUAUUCGUAACUUUGUUUGGGAUCCAUUGACUAAAACAUGGUCACCUAAAUUUGAGAUUUGAAGUUACUAUAUGUUUUUUUUUCGUAUUUAACUCUUAAUUAUUGGAUUUGGUUUUAUUUAUUACUUCGUUGGGUUUUUUUAAUUUUAAUAUUAAAAAUCUUCAUUUGUCGUAUAUAAGUUUCUCUGAUAUAUUUAUCCAUUACUGUUACUAUGAAUGCAGCCGUCGUAAUAUUAUGCUUAUAUUAUAUACAUUAAUUUGAAGCAUAAUAAUAUCUUAAAUAUUCAAGUGAUUAGGCGGCUAAAAAUCAAAAUUAUCAAAACCAACUUUUAAAAGAAAGAAAAAAUCAGUUACCUUAAUAUCAGAAAUAUUAUAGGUAACAUGCAUGAAGCCGUCCUAAUAUUAAAUUUAUAAAGUAUAACCUAGGAACUGAUUUAACCUGACCAAUACGUAAUUCAUAUUGAUAUCUUUCUUAAAACUGUAUAUCACACACUUGCCGAAUUAAUAAUUAAAUGUGUUUAUAUUACAUCAGAUGUCGAUCAUUGUAGAUAUUUGGUCGGUAACUUUCUUAAUUAGAUUUGGUAACAAAUUUAAGAUUCCCAGUAAAUAUGAGUAGAGGAUAUACGCGUAAUAAUUUUGUAGAUCUUUGAAAUAGAAUGUUCCUUGACGGACACACCAUUUAUUAAAAAACGUUUAUAUAAGAUUAAAAUAACGAUAAUGAGACUGAGGUUAUUUGGAAUUGAUAUUAUAUAAAAAUACAAGCAAAACAUACAAAAUAGCAACGUACGAAACUGAACGAAAUAGAUAAAUCACAUAUGUAAAAAACAUAAGUUAUUUUACAUGCGUGCUUAGAUAAUACAUCUCCACAACUCUGCUUGUUUUAGUCUUGAUUCAUAGCAAAUUGAACAAAUUGAGUAAGCCUUUUGGAGUAGUAACAAUGCUUGCAUACUUCAGCCAUGUUAUCGGGAUGGCACUCAGUCCGUGGCUCAAGGUUCACCAUAGCUGUAUAGUAGCGGGUCUCCAUAAUUGCAGGGAUUGUACUUAGAGUUUUCUUGACUCUUUUCCAGCAAUAAUCGGAGGUUGAUAGAUUUUCUUUCCAUUGGAGUUUAUCCAGAUACUUCUUACCUUUUGGAUAGUGUUCUAAUGCAAGCAAUAACAAACCGUAAAGAUAAGUACCGUUUGUAUACUCACCAAUGGAUGCUUGGCGUAGAUGAUAGAGGCCUUUGCGUUUUUCUUUGUGGACGAAAUAUUGAAGUAUGCCCUCAAUAUAGUGUGCCUCAGGGUUAUCGUUCUCCAAGCAUAGUUCCUUGAAUCUGUUGUGCUUGGUGAGCAUUUCGAAAGGUUCGGCAGCAAAAUAUGACAAGGAAAUGUUUCUGAAAUAGAUGG